UACGUAGGCAGCGAGCGUUGUUCGGAAUUACUGGGCGUAAAGAGUGUGUAGGCGGUGCUCUAAGUUCGGUGUGAAAUCUCCCGCUUAACUGGGAGGGUGCGCCGGAAACUGGAGUGCUCGAGCGUGGGAGAGGAAAGCGGAAUUCCUGGUGUAGCGGUGAAAUGCGUAGAUAUCAGGAGGAACACCUGCGGUGUAGACGGCUUUCUGGACCAUUGCUGACGCUGAGACACGAAAGCGUGGGUAGCAAACAUGAUGAUGAGUACCUUACCGUUGAG
rnacentral:rRNA from 1 species